rnacentral:rRNA from 1 species
GAUGAACGCUGGCGGCGUGCCUAAUACAUGCAAGUCGAGCGAACAGAUGAGGAGCUUGCUCCUCUGACGUUAGCGGCGGACGGGUGAGUAACACGUGGAUAACCUACCUAUAAGACUGGGAUAACUUCGGGAAACCGGAGCUAAUACCGGAUAAUAUAUUGAACCGCAUGGUUCAAUAGUGAAAGACGGUUUUGCUGUCACUUAUAGAUGGAUCCGCGCCGCAUUAGCUAGUUGGUAAGGUAACGGCUUACCAAGGCAACGAUGCGUAGCCGACCUGAGAGGGUGAUAGGCCACACUGGAACGGAGACACGGUCCAGACUCCUACGGGAGGCAGCAGUAGGGAAUAUUACGCAAUGGGCGAAAGCAUGACGGAGCAACGCCGCGUGAGUGAUGAAGGUCUUCGGAUCGUAAAACUCUGUUAUUAGGGAAGAACAAAUGUGUAAGUAACUAUGCACGUCGUGACGGUACCUAAUCAGAAAGCCACGGCUAACUACGUG